GGCCUCGUAGCUCAGCUGGUAGAGCACUCGCGGUACUAGAGCGAGGGUGGUGACCCAUGCGUGGGUUCCGAAUCCCGCCGAGGCCG
rnacentral:tRNA from 1 species